rnacentral:rRNA from 1 species
UGAUCAUGGCUCAGAUUGAACGCUGGCGGCAGGCCUAACACAUGCAAGUCGAGCGGUAGCGGGAAGAGCUUGCUCUUUGCCGACGAGCGGCGGACGGGUGCGUAACACGUAGGAAUCUGCCUGGUAGUGGGGGAUAGCCCGGAGAAAUCCGGAUUAAUACCGCAUACGCCCUAAGGGGGAAAGCAGGGGAUCGGUUCGCCGACCUUGCGCUAUCAGAUGAGCCUGCGUCGGAUUAGCUUGUUGGUGGGGUAAAGGCCUACCAAGGCGACGAUCCGUAGCUGGUCUGAGAGGAUGAUCAGCCACACUGGGACUGAGACACGGCCCAGACUCCUACGGGA